UACAGAGGUCUCAAGCGUUUGUUCGGAUUCAUUGGGCGUAAAGGGUGCGUAGGCGGCGCGGUAAGUCGGGUGUGAAAUCUCGGGGCUUAACUCCGAAACUGCAUUCGAUACUGCCGUGCUUGAGGACUGGAGAGGAGACUGGAAUUUACGGUGUAGCGGUGAAAUGCGUAGAUAUCGUAAGGAAGACCAGUGGCGAAGGCGGGUCUCUGGACAGUUCCU
rnacentral:rRNA from 1 species